AUUGAACGCUGGCGGCAGGCCUAACACAUGCAAGUCGAACGAGUGGCGGACGGGUGAGUAAUGUCUGGUAAACUGCCUGAUGGAGGGGGAUAACUACUGGAAACUGUAGCUAAUACCGCAUACCAUCGGAUGUGCCCAGAUGGGAUUUGCGAGUAGGUGGGGUAACUGCUCACCUAGGCGACGAUCCCUAGCUGGUCUGAGAGGGUGACCCUCCACACUGAAACUUAGAAACGGUCCAAACUCCUACGGGAGGCAGCAGUGGGGAAUAUUGAACAAUGGGGGCAAGCCUGAUGCAGCCAUGCCGCGUGUGUGAAGAAAGCCUUCGGGUUGUAAAGUACUUUCAGCGGGGAGGCGUUACCCGCAGAAGAAGCACCGGCUAACUCCGUGCCAGCAGCCGCGGUAAUUC
rnacentral:rRNA from 1 species